GCCCUUAGAGUUUGAUCCUGGCUCAGAACGAACGCUGGCGGCGCGUUUUAAGCAUGCAAGUCGAACGGUAAGCAGUCUUCGGACUGCCUAGAGUGGCGAACGGAUGAGUAACACGUAGGUGAUCUACCCGGAGGUUGGGGAUAGCCUGUGGAAACAUGGGGUAAUACCGAAUAGGUUCAUUUGGCUGUGACCGAAUGAGCAAAGGGGCUUCGGCCUCGCCUCCGGAUGAGCCUGCGCCCUAUUAGUUAGUUGAUGGGGUAAAGGCCUACCAAGGCGACGAUAGAUAGCCGGCCUAAGAGGGUGGACGGCCACACUGGGACUGAGAUACGGCCCAGACUCCUACGGAAGGCAGCAGCUAAGAAUCUUCCGCAAUGGACGAAAGUCUGACGGAGCGACGCCGCGUGGGUGAAGAAGGCCGGAAGGUUGUAAAGCCCUUUUCUACGUGAGGAAUAACCGCAGGAGGGAAUGCCUGUGGGAUGACGGUAGCGUAGGAAUAAGCCCCGGCCAAUUACGUGCCAGCAGCCGCGGUAACACAUAUGGGGCGAGCGUUGUUCGGAAUUAUUGGGCGUAAAGGGCGCGUAGGCGGCCAUGCAAGUCUGGUGUGAAAGACCGCAGCUUAACUGCGGGAGCGCGCCGGAAACUGCAUGGCUUGAGUUCUGGAGGGGGAGUUGGAAUUCCA
rnacentral:rRNA from 1 species